ACGGCAACAUCACGUUAAAACAUCGGUUCUCGUACGAUCACCGAAGUAAAGCAACGUCGAUCUUAGUCAGUACCUCGAUGGGUGACCGCUUGGGAAUACCAGGUGUU